rfam:Brachypodium distachyon strain Bd21 chromosome 3, whole genome shotgun sequence.
UUACUACUCCCUCCGUCCAACAAAAGAUGUCUCAAAUUUGUCAAAAUUUGGAUGUAUCUAGACGUGACUUAGUGUAUAGAUGUUCAAAUUUAGUCAAAUUUGAGACAUCCUUUGUUGGACGGAGGGAGUACAAU